rnacentral:rRNA from 1 species
CCUACGGGCGGCUGCAGUGGGGAAUAUUGGACAAUGGGGGGAACCCUGAUCCAGCCAUGCCGCGUGUGUGAAGAAGGCCCUCGGGUUGUAAAGCACUUUCAGUGAGGAAGAACGCCUGGUGGUUAAUACCCAUCAGGAAAGACAUCACUCACAGAAGAAGCACCGGCUAACUCCGUGCCAACAGCCGCGGUAAUACGGAGGGUGCGAGCGUUAAUCGGAAUUACUGGGCGUAAAGCGCGCGUAGGUGGCUUGAUAAGCCGGUUGUGAAAGCCCCGGGCUCAACCUGGGAACGGCAUCCGGAACUGUCAAGCUAGAGUGCAGGAGAGGAAGGUAGAAUUCCCGGUGUAGCGGUGAAAUGCGUAGAGAUCGGGAGGAAUACCAGUGGCGAAGGCGGCCUUCUGGACUGACACUGACACUGAGGUGCGAAAGCGUGGGUAGCAAACAGGAUUAGAUACCCCGGUAGUC